rnacentral:rRNA from 1 species
GACAGAGGGUGCAAACGUUGCUCGGAAUUACUGGGCGUAAAGGGUGUGUAGGCGGUUCUUUAAGUUUGGUGUGAAAUCUCCCGGCUCAACUGGGAGGGUGCGCCGAAUACUGAGGGACUAGAGUACGGGAGAGGAAAGUGGAAUUCCUGGUGUAGCGGUGAAAUGCGUAGAUAUCAGGAGGAACACCGGUGGUGUAGACGGCUUCUGGACCGACACUGACGCUGAGACACGAAAGCGUGGGUAGCAAACAGG